ACCAAGGGAGGCUUUGCCAGGUUCGGCCGCCGAAAGUUAAGUUCGGCCGCCGAACAUGGUAAGGUUUUGGGAGCGCCUUAGGCCUCCGAAAGCCUUGUUUGAGUGAGCCAAGGUUCGGCCGCCGAACCUCAUGUUCGGCCGCCGAACAUGCAUGAGAUGUGGGGGCAUGUUAGGCCGCCGAAAGGUGGCAGAACUAGCCCUAUAAGAGGCCCCGUGACCGAAAUGGGCGAGGUUUUCUCUCCCAUUCCGGCCGACGGUGAGUUCUAGCCUCCUAUAGUGAUUUUUAAGUGUUUUCCCUCAGAUCUUUUAGAUCUUAACAAGUUAUGUUUGGUUUUUGAAGAGUUUUGAAGUUUAAGCAAGUUUUGGAGCUUUGAGGUUCAAGAACUCAAAUCUCCCCCAUCUUCGAGCUAGGAUCGUUUCUCUCUCGAUCUUCAAGAGGUAAGAGCCGAUCUCUAGUUCUAUAUGUGUUUUAAGUAAGUUUUAUGCAAGUUUUCGGGGUAGAAAUGCAUGAGUAGGCUUGAUGGGUUUUUUUUAUGAAAAUCCAUGGUUUUGAUGAGUGUUCUUGAACAAUGUGGCUUGCUUGUGUGUUGUAGAUGGGGUUUAAGUUAGUUUGAGACCCCUAGGAGCUUGCAUGCUUGUGUAUGAAGUGUUGUAGAAGAGUUUAUGCAUGUUUAGAAGUUUUGGGAAACUUUGGAGGCAGGAGGAGCCAAGUUUCUGCCCUUUGGCAGAAACCAGGUUCGGCAGCCGAAGGGAGUUUCGGCCGCCGAACGUGGCUUGGGAGGCAGCUUUAGGCUGCCGAAGCUUGCCCCCGAAAGUUGGAGUUUCAGCUCUGUCCGAGACUUUCGGCCGCCGAAGGUGCCGCCGAACAUGCAUGAGUUUCGUCUCUAUCUGGGAGUUUCGGCCGCCGAAGGUGCCGCCGAACCUGCCUGACUUUCGGCUCUGGAGGGACUUCCGGCCGCCGAAGGUGCCGCCGAAAGUGCCCUGCCCAGCCUUUUCUUGCAUGUUUUCUAGGGGUGUUUUGAGGUGUUUUUAGGAGGUUUUUGGGGGUAUGCUUAGAGUCUUGUUUAUGUUUGUUUGGUACCUCAUUUAAGUCCACCUGUGUAGGUUCGGACCCGAGGAACCGAGACCCCCGGCAGUGAGAUAGCUACCUUUGAGUUGUUAAAGCUUCAGUCGUCAG
rnacentral:lncRNA from 1 species